CUUAAUGUAGCCCCACUGACUCCCUCAGUCACUAUAUUACUUUUUGUGUGUGGUUUAUGCGUGUGUGUGCCGUCCAUGCCAAGGGGCAGACAGGCCGGCUGUUCAUGGCGACACACUGUGAAAGCUGAAGCCUCCUCCGCCUUCUCCUCCUCCUGUGGGCCUUCGCUAGAAUGUUCCAGGAGCUUAGAGAGAGGCUCUGCAGGGCCAAGCUGGCACCUCGACGCCUGCAGAGAUGACCAAACCUCCAAGGGGUCCGCUGGAGAUUUCACAGCUGGGGGACUGCAUGGCUGUGCCAACUCCCUCUCUUCACCCCCUUCACUCCUCCACACACACAGAUCAGUAGCAUCAUUAUUGAACUGGAGCUUAUCUUGUACCCGUUGCCCUGGUUGUGGAGUCAGACCCAGACAGCCAUUGCGAUGUGUGAUCUCUCACUGGGACACGUCAUGUGACCAGAGGCUGCCCCUGAGAGCUGUCUCCUCAUCCUGUAUGUUCCUCACAGUCGUGUUUGGAACAUACAGUACAUGCUAAAGGGCCGUCCUCUGUAGCUUUUGUGCUUGUGAUUGUUUGUUACUCACUCCCCAGUUAAUGUGCAACUGGAGAAACAUAAAAGCAGUCAGAGGA